GGGGCCCUAAUUCAAGCAAUGUCAAUUAAAUUUGUCUACCUGUAUUCAUUAGAGCUUUGACAGAAACCUUUUAAGCUAGAACUUCUAACCAGCAAACCCAUAAACAGAAUUUGAGCACAUCUGAUCAAUAUCAUGAAUAUGUAGGUUGACUGAUUAUUGGUUUAUCAAAGUCCAGUGGCAAAUAUUACAAGAUGUUACAGUUAUGGACAAUAUAGAG
rnacentral:lncRNA from 1 species